rnacentral:rRNA from 1 species
UGGUUCAGGAGGAAGGUUGGCGGCCCGUCUAACACAUGCAAGUCGAACGAGCGAGAGAGAGCUUGCCUCCUCUAGCGAGUGGCGAACGGGUGAGUAACGCGUGAGGAACCUGCCUCAAAGAGGGGGACAACAGUUGGAAACGACUGCUAAUACCGCAUAAGCCCACAGCUCGGCAUCGAGCAGAGGGAAAAGGAGUGAUCCGCUUUGAGAUGGCCUCGCGUCCGAUUAGCUAGUUGGUGAGGUAACGGCCCACCAAGGCGACGAUCGGUAGCCGGACUGAGAGGUUGAACGGCCACAUUGGGACUGAGACACGGUCCAGACUCCUACGGGAGGCAGCAGUGGGGAAUAUUGCACAAUGGGGGAAACCCUGAUGCAUCGACGCCGCGUGGAGGAAGAAGGUCUUCGGAUUGUAAACUCCUGUUGUUGAGGAAGAUAAUGACGGUACUCAACAAGGAAGUGACGGCUAACUACGUGCCAGCAGCCGCGGUAAAACGUAGGUCACAAGCGUUGUCCGGAAUUACUGGGUGUAAAGGGAGCGCAGGCGGGAAAGCAAGUUGUAAGUGAAAUCCAUGGGCUCAACCCAUGAACUGCUUUCAAAACUGUUUUUCUUGAGUAGUGCAGAGGUAGGCGGAAUUCCCGGUGUAGCGUUGGAAUGCGUAGAUAUCGGGAGGAA